UGAUCCUGGCUCAGGAUGAACGCUAGCGGCAGGCUUAAUACAUGCAAGUCGAGGGGGCAGCAAUGUCACCGGCGAACGGGUGCGUAACGCGUAUGCAACCUACCUACAUCAGGGGGAUAGCCCUAGGAAACUGGGAUUAACACCGCAUAAUACUAGACAUGGCAUCAUGAUUAGUUGAAAUAUUUAUAGGAUGUAGAUGGGCAUGCGUAGGAUUAGCUAGUUGGUAAGGUAACGGCUUACCAAGGCUACGAUCCUUAGGGGCUCUGAGAGGAGUAUCCCCCACACUGGCACUGAGAUACGGGCCAGACUCCUACGGGAGGCAGCAGUAGGGAAUAUUGGGCAAUGGAGGCAACUCUGACCCAGCCAUGCCGCGUGCAGGAAGACGGUCCUCUGGAUUGUAAACUGCUUUUGAAUGGGAAGAAUGUGAUGCUUGCGAGCGUUAAUGACGGUACCAUUAGAAUAAGCCACGGCUAACUACGUGCCAGCAGCCGCGGUAAUACGUAGGUGGCAAGCGUUAUCCGGAUUUAUUGGAUUUAAAGGGUGCGUAGGCGGCUUAAUAAGUCGGUGGUUAAAAGUAGCA
rnacentral:rRNA from 1 species